AGCGAACGCUGGCGGCAUGCUUAACACAUGCAAGUCGCACGGGCAUCUUUCGGGGUGUCAGUGGCGGACGGGUGAGUAACGCGUAGGAACGUAUCCAGGGGUGGGGGACAACGCUGGGAAACUGGCGCUAAUACCGCAUGUGAGCUGAGGCUCAAAGCCGCGAGGCGCCUUUGGAGUGGCCUGCGUCCGAUUAGCUUGUUGGUGGGGUAAAGGCUUACCAAGGCGACGAUCGGUAGCUGGUCUGAGAGGACGACCAGCCACACUGGGACUGAGGCACGGCCCAGACUCCUACGGGAGGCAGCAGUGGGGAAUAUUGGACAAUGGGCGCAAGCCUGAUCCAGCAAUGCCGCGUGGGUGAAGAAGGUCUUCGGAUCGUAAAGCCCUUUCGACGGGGACGAUGAUGACGGUACCCGUAGAAGAAGCCCCGGCUAACUUCGUG
rnacentral:rRNA from 1 species